GUUAUCUGCCGACAGCGUAAUGCGAGGCAAGUGCCAGCCGUUCCGCCCGGCAUACAAGCUUAUGGAGCAGCCCCCUUUGAAGAUCUCCAGGUAGACUUCACAGAGAUGCCAAAGUGUGGAGAUCUGAUUCCUAGAUUGGGACUGCCCUUACGGAUCAGCUCAGAUAACGGGCCUGCGUUUGUGGCUGACAGUACAGAAGAUGGCAAAGGUAUCGGGGAUCACAUGGAAACCGCAUGCCGCCUCCUGGUCUCAGAGUUCCGGAAAGGUUUACAGCAAGACUAUGAUUCCCUGAUGGGCUCUUCCUGCCUGCCGCAUAGAUGACAUCAGGUCACUGAGACUGACUGCGGUAUUGCAGUAAAGAAAGAGUUUAAUUAAUGCCCAGUCCCAACGCUCAAACUUGCACCAGCAGCAAGAUAGCAGAGGCAGGAAAAGAGCUGGCUGGAAGACACAUACUCUCUGAAGAUCAAGGGGGAGGCCGUCCGCGUACUACAUAGCAGUCACGUCAGGCUGGGACAAUUCCUGUUUACAGAGAACUAUAAAAGCCCUGCCCCCUCCUCACUUGGGGCUGAUGCCAUUCUAGGCCUCAGUCUGUCUGCAUCCAGGUGCUUAUUAAAACAGUGUGUUGCUCCACACCGCCUCGUGUUGUCUGUUGGCGCGCUCUCCGGGUUCCAACCAAUGCAAGAGCCUUGGGGCUGGCCCUGAAACCUGCGAGGGGCUUCCGUCCACGUCCCCAGUGGACCUACCACCCCUCCAUCUGGGAAAGCAGGCCACAGCAGCCGGACAAAGGAAGCUCCUCAGCCUCUAGUCGCCUCUCUGUGCAUGCACAUCGGUCACUGAUCUCGCCUACUGGCACAGACGUGUUUAUCGGCCAAACUGACCCUCACAAAAAGCUACCACCGAAGUGGACAGGCCCCUACACUGUGAUACUCAGCACACCAACUGCAGUGAGAGUCCGAGGACUCCCCAACUGGAUCCAUCGCACCAGGGUCAAGCUCACCCCCAAGGCAGCUUCUUCCUCCAAAACAUUAACAGCUAAGUGUUUGUCUGGGCCAAUUUCUCCUACCAAGUUUAAAUUAACCAACAUUUUUUUCUUAAAACCAAAACACAAGGAAGACUAACCACGUGCUUCCAGGAAUGGCCUGUAUCUACCCAACCACUUUCUAUACCUCUCUUCCAACCAAAAGUCUUAAUAUGGGAAUAUCCCUCACCACGAUCCUAAUACUGUCAGUAGCUGUCCUGCUGUCCACAGCAGCCCCUCCGAGCUGCCGUGAGUGUUAUCAGUCUUUGCACUACAGAGGGGAGAUGCAACAAUACUUUACUUACCAUACUCAUAUAGAAAGAUCCUGUUAUGGAAACUUAAUCGAGGAAUGUGUUGAAUCAGGAAAGAGUUAUUAUAAAGUAAAGAAUCUAGGAGUAUGUGGCAGUCGUAAUGGGGCUAUUUGCCCCAGAGGGAAGCAGUGGCUUUGCUUCACCAAAAUUGGACAAUGGGGAGUAAACACUCAGGUGCUUGAGGACAUAAAGAGAGAACAGAUUAUAGCCAAAGCCAAAGCCUCAAAACCAACAACUCCCCCUGAAAAUCGCCCGCGGCAUUUCCAUUCCUUUAUACAAAAACUAUAAGCAGAUGCAUCCCUUCCUAAGCCAGGAAAAAAUCUGUUUGUAGAUCUAGGAGAACCAUUGUGCUUACCAUGAAUGUGUCCAAUUGUUGGGUAUGCGGGGGAGCUUUAUGAGUGAACAGUGGCUGUGGGACGGGAUAGACAUUCCCCCUUACUUACAGGCAUCCCAAAACCCCAGACUCACUUUCACUCCUCAGGAAUGCCCGCAGUCCUGGACACUUACCAACCCAGUAUGAGGGACGGUGUGCAUAUCCCGCAAGUGGACUGAUAAAACCCAUCGCGCCGUAGGUGAAAACCCGUCACCAAACCCUAACAGUCAAUGCCUCCAUAGCUGAGUGGUGGCCAAGGUUACCCCCUGGAGCCUGGUCUCCUUCUAACUUAAGCUACCUCAAUUGUGUCUUGUCAAAAAAGGCCUGGUACUGUACGAACACCACUAACCCUUAUGCCGCAUACCUCCGCCUAAGUGUACUAUGCGACAAUCCUAGGAACACCAGCUGACAAUGGACUGCCACUGACGGAUUCCUGUGGAUAUGGGGAACCCAGGCUUACUCACAGCUACCUUAUCACUGGCAAGGUACUUGCUUCCUAGGCACAAUUCAACCUGGAUUCUUUUUACUUCCGAAGCAGGCGGGCAACACCCUCAGAGUCCCUGUGUAUGAUAACCAGAGAAAAAUGAUCCUUGGAGGUAGGAGGGAGCCAAAGAUUGUGAGAGGACGAGUGGCCUCUGCAACGGAUCAUUGAAUACUAUGGUCCUGCCACUUGGGCAGAGGAUGGUUCAUGGGGUUAUCGCACUCCCAUAUAUAUGCCAAAUAGAGCGAUUAGACUACAAGCUGUUCUAGAGAUAAUCACUAACCAAACUGCCUCAGCCCUAGAAAUGCUCGCGCAACAACAAAACCAAAUGCGCGCGGCAAUUUAUCAAAACAGGCUGGCCCUAGACUACUUAUUAGCAGAAGAGGGUGCGGGCUGUGGUAAGUUUAACAUCUCCAAUUGCUGUCUUAACAUAGGCAAUAAUGGAGAAGAGGUUCUGGAAAUCGCUUCAAACAUCAGAAAAGUAGCCCGUGUACCAGUCCAAACCUGGGAGGGAUGGGACCCAGCAAACCUUCUAGGAGGGUGGUUCUCUAAUUUAGGAGGAUUUAAAAUGCUGGUGGGGACAGUCAUUUUCAUCACUGGGGUCCUCCUGUUUCUCCCCUGUGGUAUCCCAUUAAAACUCUUGUUGAAACUACAGUUAACCUCCUGACAAUCCAGAUGAUGCUCCUGCUACAGCGGCACGAUGGAUACCAACCCGUCUCUCAAGAAUACCCCAAAAAUUAAGUUUUUCUUUUUCCAAGGUGCCCACGCCACCCCUAUGUCACGCCUGAAGUAGUUAUUGAGAAAGUCGUCCCUUUCCCCUUUUCUAUAACCAAAUAGACAGGAAUGGAAGAUUCUCCUCGGGGCCUGAAAGCUUGCGGGAUGAAUAACUCCUCCUCCUCAGGCCCAGUCCCAAGGUACAAACUUGCACCAGCAGCAAGAUAGCAGAGGCAGGAAGAGAGCUGGCUGGAAGACACGUACCCCCUGAAGAUCAAGAGGGAGGUCGCCCUGGUACUACAUAGCAGUCACGUUAGGCUGGGACAAUUCCUGUUUACAGAGGACUAUAAAACCCCUGCCCCAUCCUCACUUGGGGCUGAUGCCAUUUUAGGCCUCAGCCUGUCUGCAUGCAGGCGCUCAUUAAAACAGCAUGUUGCUCCACACCGCCUCAUGUUGUCUGUUGGCGCGCUCUCGGGGUUCCAACCAAUGCAAGAGCCUUGCACUGAUGACAUGUCCCCAGGGUGGUUGGGCCACAGCUUGGUUUUAUACAUUUUAGGGAGAUAUGAGACACCAAUCAAUAUAUGUAAGAAGCACCUUGGUUCUUCUGGAAAGGUGGGACAACUUGAAGCAAAGGCAGGAACACUCCAAGCGGGGAGGGAGCUUGCUGGGCACAGAAAGGUGAGACACUGGAGGCUGCAUUCUUUUGAGUUUCUGAUCAGCCUUUCCAAAGGAGGCAAUGAGAUAUGCAUCUAUCUCAGUGAGCAGAGGAGUGACUUUGAAUAGAAUGGGAGGCAGGUUUCCCUUAAGCAGUGUCCAGCUUGACUUUUCCUUAGUGAUUUUGGGGCCCAAAAUAUUUUUCUUUCACAUGGGCAACAUGGGAGGAUCACUUAAGCUCAGGAGCCAGAGGCUGCAGUGAGCAGAGGUCACACCACUGAGACGCUGUCUCAAGAAAACAAAACUAGGCUGGGCACGGUGGCUCAUGCCUGUAAUCCCAGUACUUUGGGAGGCUGAGGCAGAUGGAUCACAAGGUCAGGAGUUUGAGACCAGCCUGACCAACAUAGUGAAACCCUGUCUCUACUAAGAAUACAAAACACCCAGGGAGGCGGAGGUUGCAGUGAGCCGAGAUCGAGCCACUGCGCUCCAACCUGUGCCACAGAGCGAGACUCUGUCUCAAAAAAAACAAACAAACUAAACCAAACCCACUUUUAGGCCUGGAGUAGUGGAUCACGCUUGUAAUCCCAGCACUUUGGGAGUCUGAGGCAGGCAGAUUGCUUGAGUCCAGGAGUUCGAGAGCAGCCUGGGUAACAUGGUGAAACCCCAUCUCUACAAAAAAUUUUUUAAAAAGCUGGGCAUAGUGGUGCACGCCUGAAGUCCUAGCUACUCUGGAGGCUGAGGUGGGAGAAUCGCCUGAACCCAGGAGGCGGAGCUUGCAAUGAGACGAGAUCGAGCCACUGCACUCCAUCCUGGGUGACAGACUGAGACCCCUUCUCAAAAAAAGAAAAACAACAAAAUAUCACUGAGCUCCAGCCGGGACAGAGUGAGACCCCUUCUCAAAAAAACAAAAACAAAACAACAAAAUGCCACUUGUAACUGCAGCUAAUCACAGCAUGGAUAUUCGGGGCCAUUUGAGUCAGUGCUCCUGGCUUGCAGUCCAUAAACUUGGCCCAGAGAAUCUCCACUUGCACGAGUUUUGCUCCUGCUUCUGUUUUCUGUUUUUGAGACAGAGUCUCGCUCUGUUGCCCAGGCUGGAAUGCAGUGAUGUGAUCUCGGCUCACUGCAAGCUCCACCUCCCAGGUUCAUGCCAUUCUCCUGCCUCAGCCUCCUGAGUAGCCGGGACUACAGGUAUCUGCCACCAUGCCCAGCUAAUGUUUUCUAUUUUUAGUAGAGACAGGGUUUCACCGUGUUAGCCAGGAUGGCCUCGAUCUCCUGACCUUGUGAUCUGCCCGCCUCGGCCUACCGAAGUGCUGGGAUUCCAGGCGUGAGCCACUGCGCCCGGCCUCCUAAAGUGCUGGAAUGACAGGCGUGAGCCCCCGCGCCUGGCCACCCCUGCUUCUUCCUUUAGGUCAGCACCUGCUAGGUUUAAGACAUUGUGGGCGGGGACAACAGAAGGGAUAUUUUCAACCUUUUUUGGUAAGAAGAGUUGUUUCUUUUUUCUUUUUUUCCUCUGCCCUAUCUUAUAAUGCUAAAAGAGUUGCUUCUUUAUUUUUAUUUAUUUAUUUAUUUUGAGACAGGGUCUCACUAUGUUGCCCAGGCGGGUCUCGAACAUCUGAGCUCGUGACCCUCCCAUGUCAGCCUCCCAAAGUGCUGCGAUUCCAGGCAUGAGCCAAUGUGCCUGGCCAAGAGUUGCUUUUUAUUUUAUUUUAUUUAUUUAUUUAGAGAUGGAGUCUUACUCUGUUGCCCAGGCUGGAGUACAGUGGCAUGAUCUUGGCUCACCGCAACCUCCGCCUCCCAGGUUCAAGCAAUUCUCCUGCCGCAGUCUCCCAGGUAACUGAGAUUAUAGGCCAGCGCUAUGAUGCCUGGCUAAUUUUUGGGUUUUUAGUAGAGAUGGGGUUUCACCAUGUUGGCCAGGCUGGUCUCGAACUUCUAACCGCAGGUGAUCUGCCCACUUCGGCCUCCCACAGUGCUGGGAUUACUGGUGUAAGCCACCACGUCCGGCCUCCAAGUUUCUAUUUUACAUUUCUCAUCUCCAUCCUGCCAAGUGUCUAUUCCGCACAGUACUGACUCAUUUGCUCUGAAGGAUGAGCUGAGGAGUUCUCCUGGGCUACCUCCCAAGUUCCUAUUUGUGUCCUCCAGGUUCUUGGUUUAUCUUCUGUUUACUUGUUAGGGUUUAUAACACUCUCAUUCUGUCUUGUAAUCUCCAUAGUUGUUUAGCCUUAAUUCACAGGCAAAUAGGUUCUAAGGUCUCCCCCAGUACUACUGUGGCCUUCAAUUCUUGAUUUUUUUCUUUUUUUUUUUUUUGAGAUGACUUUCGCUCUUGUUGCCCAGGCUGGAGUGCAAGGGCGUGGUCUUGGCUCACUGCAACUUCUGCCUCCCAGGUUCAAGCGAUUUUACUGCCAUAGCCUCCCAAGUAGCUGGGAUUACAGGCGCCCGCCAUCAUGCCCAGCUAAUUUUUGUAUUUUUAGUAGAGACGAGGUUUCGCCAUGUUGGCCAGGCUGGUCUGAAACUCCUGACCUCAGGUGAUCCACCUGUCUCGGCUUCCCAAAGUGCUGGGAUUACAAACAUGAGCCACCGUGCCUGGCCCAAUUUUUGAAUUUUUAAUGUUAGUUCAUCUCUUGUUUGGCUGGAUUUCACUGUCUAGUUUUCCUCCCACGAAGGGCUUGAGGAGGUGAGAGUCUCUGAAUACAGGCAGUUGAAAGAUGGCAUAUAUGGGCCAGCACGGUGGCUCCUGCUGUAAUCCCUGCACUUUGGGAGGCUGAGGGGGAGAGAUAGCUUGAAGCCAGGAAUUUGAGACCAGCCUGACCAAAAUGGUGAAAUCCUGACUCUAGUAUAAACACAAAAAUUAGCCAGGCGUGGUGCCGUUUCCUAAAGGAUUGGCCUCAGCCACUUACUCAGCCUGAGGCUGCUCUGAGACUGCAGAGGGUCAGGGAGAGAAGGUGGUAGAACCAAGGAAGCUGAGCACUUAAAACACCCACUUAUUUAAUUUAAUUAAUUAAUUUAUUUUUUGAGACGGAGUCUUGCUCUGUCGCCCAGGCUGGAGUGCAGUGGCACAAUCUCGGCUCACUGCAAGCUCUGCCUCCCGGGUUCACAUCAUUCUCCUGUCUCAGCCUCCCGAGUAGCUGGGACUACAGGCGCCCACCACCACGCCCGGCUAAUUUUUUUUUUGUUUUUUUUUUUUGAGACGGAGUCUUGCUCUUUCGCCCAGGCUGGAGUGCAGUGAGGCUAUCUCGGUUCACUGCAAGCUCCGCCUCCUGGGUUCACGCCAUUCUCCUGCCUCAGCCUCCCAAGUAGCUGGGACUACAGGCGCCCGCUACCAUGCCCGGCUAAUUUUUUGUAUUUUUAAUAGAGACGGGGUUUCACCGUGUUAUCCAGGAUGGUCUCGAUCUCCUGACCUCGAGAUCUGCCCACCUCAGCCUCCCAAAGUGCUGGGAUUACAGGCGUGAGCCACCGCACCUGGCCAAUUUUUUGUAUUUUUAGUAGAGACAGGGUUUCACCGUGUUAGCCAGGACGGUCUCGAUCUCCUGACCUCGUGAUCUGCCCACCUCAGCCUCCCAAAGUGCUGGGAUUACAGGCGUGAGGCACUGCGCCCGGCCUCCAACAGAACGUGGGAAAUCACAUAGACCCAAACAAUGGCCCCUUGGGUGACCACUGUAUUGCCACCAGAUGGACUAUCAAGAAAUCAUCUGCAGUGAUAGCUACAAAAUGCAGAGCUGUGCUUGGUGCUGGCUAUUCGGUUUUAAGCCCUUCCAAUGGGUGGAGGAGAGUAAACCAAAAUCCCAGAAAGACUAGCCCAACAGGACUAGUUCUAAGGGAAGAACUUUAUUUUUUUGAGACGGAGUUUUGCUGUUGUUGCCCAGGCUGUAGUGCGAUGCUGCAAUCUCCACUCACUGCAGCCUCUGCCUCCUGGGUUCAAGUGAUUUUCCUGCCUCAGCCUCUUGAGUAGCUGGGAUUACAGGCAUGCACCAACACGCCCGGCUAAUUUUGUAAUUUUAGUAGAGAGGGGGUUUCACCAUGUUAGUCAGGCUGGUCUCAAACUCCCAACCUCAGGUGAUCCAUCUGCCUCAGCCUUCCAAAGUGCAGGGAUUACAGGCAUGAGCCACCGCGCCCAGCCAGGAAAGAACUUUAUACAAGUCUCAUGCUUUAUCUUAAAAAUAUAUGCAAAUCAAAAUAUAUUCAUGUUCAUUUUAAUAUUAAGGGAAUUUCCAUUUCCAAAGCAUCACCGCCCAUCACAGUAGUUCCACGGAUCCCAGCUUGAGAACUAUUAAAUGAAAAACCAAAAAAUGCAAAUAGCAGGAUAGAAAAGUUGUAGGUACAUUAAAAUGGUUACACCUACCACCACCACUGGGGAAUCCUGUAAGAUGUUAAUGGCUGGGAAUGGGGGCUCACGCCUGCAAUCCCAGAACUUUCUGGGGCCGAGGCAGGCAGAUCUCUUGAACCCUGUCUCUACAAAAAAUAGAAAAAUUAGGCGGACAUGGUGGCCAGUGCCUACAGUCCCAGCUACAAAGUGGGCUGAGAUGGGAGGAUUGCUUGGGCCUGGGAGGACGAGGCUGCAGUGAGCUGAGAUCGCACCACUCCUCCGGGCAAGAGUGAGGCUGUCUCAAAAAAAAAAAAAAAAAAAAAAAAAAAAAAAGGGUGGGUUAGCAUAGUGGAUUUUAGGUAAGUUUACUAUUUUCUUUUUGGUAAUGUAGUUUUACCACUUUUAUUAUAAAAAAUGUGUUUAGAAGAAUCUGGCUGAGUUGCUAAGUCUCCCGUGUGGUAACACAAUUUGAGGCAGAUGACCACAAUACUAGUUUUCAAUUUUGAUAUUUAAAAAAAAAAAUUUUUUUUUGAGAUGCAGUCUCACGCUGUCACCCAGACUGAAUGCAAUGGCAUGAUCUCGGCUUACUGCAAACCCCGCCUCCCGGGUUCAAGCGAUUCUCCUGCCUCAGCCUCUUGAAUAGCUGGGAUUACAGGCACGCACCACCACAGUUGGCUAAUUUUUGUAUUUUUAGUAGACACAGGGUUUCACCAUGUUGGCCAGGCUGGUCUCAAACUCCUGACCUCAAGUGAUCCAUCCGCCUUGGCUUCCCAAAGUGCUGGGAUUACAGGCGUAAGCCACCGUGCCCUGGCCCUCACCUACAUUGGUUACUUUCUCUAAGUCAGACUGGGGGUCUGUCUCUGCAGAGUGCUGGGGGAGCGUGCUCCAUGUGAUGCACAGGAGCCCCCCACAUUGCCCCCAAAGGUGUGACUUAAAGUUAUCUAUCACAAGGGAUGGGAGGUUACUUGGCCAACCCAGAAACCCUAAAUAGGUAAAAUAGCUCAUUGAGUGCCUGUGGCCAGCGGGGAGCAACUUCGUCCCUGCACCGCACAAAACUUCACCUCUUCCUACUCCGUCCCUGCACCGCACGAAACUUCACCUCUUCCUACUCCGUCCCUGCACCGCACGAAACUUCACCUCUUCCUACUCCGUCCCUGCACCGCACGAAACUUCACCUCUUCCUACUCCGUCCCUGUACUGCACGAAACUUCACCUCUUCCUACUCCGUCCCUGUACUGCACGAAACUUCACCUCUUCCUACUUCGUCCCUGUACUGCAAGAAACUUCACCUCUUCCGAAUCUCACCAAUGAAAAUGUCCUCAAGUUUAUAUAAAAUAUCUAACAGAGGCAAACAAAACAAUUCCCUUCCUUUUCUGAUGGUAAAAUACUGCAAUACAAUUUGUUUGCAAUGCAGUAGUUAAAAUUAGUAACAUUCCUGUUCCUUUUUUUUGAUUGAGUUUCACUCCUGUUGCCCAGGCUGGAGUACAAUGGCACGAUCUUGCUCACUGCAACCUCCGCCUCCCAGGUUCAAAUGAUUCUCCUGCCUCAGCUUCCUGAGUAGCUGGGAUUACAGGUACCCACUAGCAUGCCUGGCUGAUUUUUGUAUUUUUAGUAGAGAUGGGGUUUCACUAUGUUGGCCAGGCCGGUCUCAACUCCUGACCUCAGGUGCUCCACCCGCCUCGCCCUCCCAAAGCGCUGGGAUUACAGGAAUUAUCCACUGCACCUGGCCAAAACUCCUGUUUCUAAUGAUCAAAAACCAGGGCUGUAGGAUUAGAAGUCACUAUUACUGGCUGGGUGCAGUGGCUCACGCCUAUAAUGCCAGCAUUUUGGGAGGCUGAGGCAGGUAGAUCAUGAGGUCAGGAGUUUAAGACCAGCCUGGCCAAGAUGGUGAAACCCCAUCUCUACUAAAAAUACAAAAAAAAUUAGCCAGGCAUGGUGGCGUGAGCCUGUAGUACCAGCUACUCAAGAGGCUAAGUAAGGCAGGAGAAUCACUUGAACCCAGGAGGCGGAGGUUGCAGUGAGUUUAGAUUGUGCCGCUGGACUCCAGCCUGGGAAACAGAGACUCCAUCUCAAAAAAAAUAAAAGAAGUCACUAUUACAUUAUUGAUACUCAGCUGAUAAUCAGUUUAAUGCGAAAUUGACUAGGCUGAGCACAGUAGAAUCACACCGCUCUA
rnacentral:lncRNA from 1 species